rnacentral:rRNA from 1 species
ACGGGACCUUUCGGGGUUUAGUGGCGGACGGGUGAGUAACGCGUGAGAACAUGCCCUUAGGUUCGGGACAACAGUUGGAAACGGCUGCUAAUACCGAAUGUGCCGAGAGGUGAAAGAUUAAUUGCCUAAGGAUUGGCUCGCGUCAGAUUAGCUAGUUGGUGGAGUAAUGGUUUACCAAGGCGACGAUCUGUAUUUGGUCUGAGAGGAUGACCAGACACACUGGGACUGAGACACGGCCCAGACUCCUACGGGAGGCAGCAGUGGGGAAUUUUCCGCAAUGGGCGAAAGCCUGACGGAGCAAUACCGCGUGAGGGAGGACGGCUUUUGGGUUGUAAACCUCUUUUAUCAGGGAAGAAACAAAUGACGGUACCUGAUGAAUCAGCAUCGGCUAACUCCGUGCCAGCAGCCGCGGUAAUACGGAGGAUGCAAGCGUUAUCCGGAAUUAUUGGGCGUAAAGCGUCCGUAGGUGGUUUUUCAAGUCUGCUGUCAAAGCGUGGAGCUUAACUCCAUAUCGGCAGUGGAAACUGGGAGACUAGAGUGCGAUAGGGGUAACGGGAAUUCCCAGUGUAGCGGUGAAAUGCGUAGAGAUUGGGAAGAACACCAGCGGCGAAAGCGCGUUACUGGGUCUGCACUGACACUGAGGGACGAAAGCUAGGGGAGCGA